GGGGGCGUCCGGCUUCGACGGGGCAGAUGGGCUUCGGGAUAGCGAGCCGAAGGCCGUGAGCGUUACAGCGGCAGGCAACACAAAUGCCAACGACAAUCGCGCUCUCGCCUACGCUGCGUAAGCAGUAAAGGUAUGAGCCCCGAGACUUAGAUCUCGGGCGCCGCCCCAGGUCAGGCCGGCGGGCCUGGGGACGGCGUCAAACAGCCGGCUUGCCGAGCGGGGGCGCCACGGCCUCGCGAGGGACUUGCACCGCGGCUGGCCCGAGGGGAUCCCGCCGGGAGGAGCCCUCAGGGUGAGAUCAAAAUCCCUGACACGCUCGUAGAAGUCCUGAAGGACGCUGCUUCGGACGCGGGUUCAACUCCCGCCGCCUCCACCA
rnacentral:tmRNA from 1 species